AACGAACGCUGGCGGCGUGGAUUAGGCAUGCAAGUCGAACGAGAAGUCUUUGUUUUGAUCCUUCGGGUGAGAAAUAGAGAUCAAAAGUGGCGAAAGGGUGAGUAAUGCAUGGGUAACUUACCUUUAAGUUGGGGAUAACCCUGCGAAAGCGGGGGUAAUACCGAAUGUGGUCGUCCCGAUGCGUCGGGAUUGUCUAAAGGUGGGGAUCCUUCGGGACCUACCGCUUAGAGAUGGGCUCAUGUCCUAUCAGCUUGUUGGUGAGGUAAAGGCUCACAAAGGCUAAGACGGGUAGCUGGUCUGAGAGGAUGGUCAGCCACACUGGGACUGAGACACUGCCCAGACUCCUACGGGAGGCUGCAGUCGAGAAUCAUUCGCAAUGCGCGAAAGCGUGACGAUGCGACGCCGCGUGGAGGAUGAAGGCCUUCGGGUUGUAAACUCCUGUCAUGGGGGAACAAUGGCCCCGAUACGAAUAGAAUCGGGGAAGUGAUAGUACCCCAAGAGGAAGCCACGGCUAACUCUGUGCCAGCAGCCGCGGUAAUACAGAGGUGGCAAGCGUUGUUCGGAUUUACUGGGCGUAAAGGGUGCGUAGGCGGUUUUAUAUGUCGGAUGUGAAAGCUCAC
rnacentral:rRNA from 1 species